rfam:Triticum aestivum genome assembly, contig: Triticum_aestivum_CS42_TGACv1_scaffold_342632_4DL
CAUGUACUCCCUCCGUUCGGAAUUACUUAUCGCAAAAAUGAAUGUAUCUAGACGUAUUUUAGUUUUAGAUACAUCCAUUUCCGAGACAAGUAAUUCCGAACGGAGGGAAAUAGUGG